ensembl:ncRNA asRNA:CR46128 antisense RNA:CR46128
GCCGCGUUUGCCCUGAUCCAACGGAGGGCCAAGAUAACGUCUUUCAAUCCAGCAUUGCCAGGAACUUCAAGAUCGGGAUCAUUGAGACUGAGGAAACCUGAAAGAGCCCGGUAUAAAAUGUUAUCGAACACCAAUUGUUUUAGCUUUUUGAAAGCGCACCUAAGGGUCCCAGUCGAUGACCAAUGCUUAUGUACACAACGUUUUCCUUCAUAAAAUAGUCGGGACCCCAGGCGCGUCUCGAAGAAUCUCCGCCCUUAAAAGCGCCUCCAUGGAUGUAGACCAUCACAGGCAUGGGAUCACCGUUUAGCUAAAAGAAAUCCAUCGUGAUUGCUGUUCGGAAUUAAGUUUUCUAAUUUAGAAGACUUACAGUUUUUACUGAUAUGUUCAGGUAAAGGCAAUCCUCGGAGCCUUCCACCUCCUUGGUUAAUGUGCUCACUUGCAGGCACUUGCUGAGCGGCUUGGAGCAAUCGCGAAUCCCGUGCCAUGGUUUAAGGUCAUGGGGCUCCUUGAAGCGCAGGGUUCCCAGCGGAGGAACCGCAUAGGGGAUGCCAUCAAAAGCGUAAAACUGUUCGUCAUAUAGGGACUUAAGCAGGAUUCCCCUCACUUUUCCAUGUGUUGUCUGCACCACGGGGGCAUCUUCGUUGCUAAAAAAACAAAACAAUAGGUAACGAAUUGGGGCUGGAUUUUUAUUAAUGCACUCACUAGUCGUCCGACAUCUCCGAACACAGCCAGUCUCUAGCUUUAACUGCCUUCGCUUAUUAUUAAGCAAUGAAGACCUCUAUCGAUAGCCGGAGCUUAUCAACCUAAAAAUACUCGGAUCGCUCUCGUAUCUCAAACAAUGGUAAAUUUGCCGCACAUAAACAUGGGGACAGAAAAUGAAUUAUAAAGUAGACUAUCUUGAAUGGUUUACAUACGAAAUUCGGAUGUAGAUAGGGUUUUGGGAAAGUAAAAAAAGUGUAAGAGCCUUUAUGCAUAAAUUGUAUGUUCCUUUAUGCCUAAAAAACAUACUAUGCCGAUUUACCGACCCCUAAAAAUAUUUUUUGCCUUUAUGUGUGAAUUGAGUAAAUAAUUCAUUAGUACUUAAUAAAGAAGUAUAGUUCCAACUAAAAAAAUUAUUGCAGAAACACUGUAGAUUUGUAAAAUGUUUAAUCACUUGUUUGAUUUCAGCUACCAAUAUUGUUAGGAGACUUAAUACCCUUGACUAGCCCGUUGAUUGGCAGACACUUUCCCAGACCCUAAGCUUCUGCAGCUCCGGCAGCUCCAUCAUCUUAAUGUUCUCCGAGAUGUUGAGGCACUCCAAAGCGGAUUUGCUGUUGAGUGGCUUCCAUUCUUUGGCUCGCGGAAGCUGAUCCUGGAUGAGCUUGCAAUUAGGAUUCGAUGUCCUCGCGAAGCUUGUCAACAUGUCAAUCAUCCUCUCGAUGGUGAGGAACUCGGGCGUGUGCUUGUCCAGCUUCCAGGAGAAGUCGCCGUACCACAGGUAGGAGUGAUCAUCGACGUGGGCUACGCCCCGCAACUUGUCACCGCAGUACUUCAAACGCUGGUGAUUGAACGUGGGAGAGUCAAAAUCGAAUCGAUAGAGGUAUGUGGAAGCACUGGAGCUCUUUACACGGGAUCUCAGCGUUUUAAGAAUGGGAUGCCAAAACACUUUAUAGCUGGCGUACUGAAAGAAGUUGUUAAGAAAUCUAUCAAAUUGAAAGCAGUAAAGAUCUGAACUAUCCCACCUCACAGUACGCUUUUAAGGACUCUGGCGACAUGGCAGAAGGAUCAUUACCGCCAAAGUGGGUCUCCUGGAGUCGCUGGCCCAGAUGUCGAGCUAGAGCCUGGGGCAGAUUACGCUUCACAUCCAGUGGCAGCAUGUGCUCGGGUUCUUUUUUCAGGCUGGUCAGCAAGUACGGAGCCAUUUGGACGCGGGCGUACAUCAGCAAGCCCUCGAAGGAAGUGCCGCUCAUCAGUACCGGAAUCCUAUUUCCCCAGGCCUUGUCCAGCAGUUCCUGCGGAUGAUUGGGCAGCGCGCAGUGCUCCGUUUUAUAUGGCUCCACCAUAGGUCCAAACUGAAAGACGCAAUCGUCCAGGUGCUCCUCUGCGCUAAGUAGAUAUGGUCGAACCAGUUUCUCUCCCGGCAAUUUUUGCAGGAAGUCCAAGACCAUGGCGUCGGUCACGUGCUCGGCACUUUCCAUUCCCAGGUUGACAGCUAACCGAUGCGGUAGAUUCUUGAUGGUACAGAGGGCCCAGGAGCAGAGUACAUUGCCCGAUUGCAGUAUGGCCUUGUGGAACAGACCCUCAGCCUUGGGAUUCAGCAUCAAGUAGUGGACUGAUGCGGCUCCGGCGCUUUCGCCAAAAGCGGUCACGUUCUUGGGAUCGCCAUUAAAUCGUUCUGCGUUUUCCUUGAUCCAUUCCAUUGCCAGCAGCUGAUCCUUCAGACCAGCAUUUCCGGGCACUCCCACGGCAGGAUCGUUCAGGCUUAGGAAUCCAAGGGGACCCACGCGAUAGGAAACUGUGACUACGACCACAUCGCGCAUCAUGAAGUAGUCAGGACUAUGCAGCUCCUUGGUGGGGUCGCCCUUUUCGAAACCACCGCCAAAAAAGAACACAAUCAGCGGUAGUGGCCUUGGUGAGUCCAGCUGUAACGAAGGUAUAAAUGGUUCAUUAACGAUGGAUUGGGUAUAUGUAUGUAUCAGUCUGCUCUCGUAUUAAAAUCUUUCUUUAUCAUAGUCAUUAAAUUCAUCAAUUUCCUGUAUUUCCUAUACAUAAACUUUUAGUUUGAAAAAGUACAUUCCACAGCUGGCCUUUGCUUGAAAACUGAUAUACGACCUCAAUCGCCGUCCAACGCACUGAAGUGACUCAGCUUUUGUUUAUCGUCUUAUCAAAUAAAAGUGAAGCUAGAUAAAUGAAUUAAAUUUCAUGGGCUGGAAAAACCCACUAUUGCUUUUGGACUACAUUAACCCGACUACGUAAUCCCUAAUGACACCCGACAAAAAUCACCUUUACCACCAAGGAAACUAUACUAAACGAUCCCACAGUGAUACCUCCUUGGCGUAGACAUUCAGAUACAGGCAAUCCUCGACGCCCUCCAGCUGUUUGGAGUAGUGGUUGAAUUGGAGUGGCUUCUGGCCGGGCUUGGUGCAAUCCAAGGGCUGGCUCCAGGGCUCCACGGGCAGGGGGGCCAUGAACCGGAGGUGCCCCACCGGCGGCUGCGCGUACGGAAUCCGCUCGAAGCUGACGUACUCAUCGCCGUAGACACCUGUACAUUGUUUUCCGAGCACCGGUCCGCUGGUCGUGUUCACCUGCAAGCUGGAGGAUACAAAAAGACUUGGAUCACUGCGAAAUAUUCACUGCUACUGCGACCUCACCUCUCCAUGUUCGUCUACUAAAUGCUCGGUGCGCACUCGUAACUUUUUAUCUUGUAGUGGAAAAACAUUUAAAGCCCUUUUAUCGCGC